CUUGACUUCCUCCUAAACUGUGACCUGUCGGCAGACCUCCUCACUUCUCAUAGCCCUCUCCUUGGCUCCGGCCACAACAUGUUGGUCCAGGUCCAGCUGCUGUGGCUGCUCUCAGCUCUCACAGGAUCCAUGGGUGCAGUGCAGCUGGUGGAGUCCGGAGGAGGCGUGAAAUACACAGGGGAAUCUAUGCGUCUCUCAUGCCAGGGCUCAGGGUUCAGCUUUGGGAGCUAUACUAUGAACUGGUAUCGGGAGGCUUCAGGAAAGUCCCGUGAGUUUGUCGCCAGCAUCAGUUAUGAUGGGAGUAACAAAAAUUAUGCGGAUGCACUCAAGGGACGAUUCACCAUCUCCAGGAACAACGCCAAAAGCCAGCUGUACCUGCAGAUGGACAGGCUGAGAGAGGAGGACACAGCCCGGUAUAUCUGCCACGUUCACAGUGAGGGGAUGCAGGAGGACAAUUGGAGCAGGGUCACAAUACCUCUAGAUACUGCGGCGGUUGGGAAAUUUCUCAUAUUCUGGGAAUGGGAGAGAGCAGGGAUAAGGUAAGCUUUGUCAUUUAUUUGUACUUUUCUCCAUUUUUUUCUACCUUCUUAGAUUGUAAGGGCCUUUUGGCAGGGACUGUUGGCAAUUUAUAUGCUAUUUUAAGUUCCCAAGUGCCUGGUGCAGUUCUUAUAGACUACUGAAGAAAUAGCACAAGAUCUCAAAGAAACUACCAUCAUCAUCAUCUUUAAGAAGAAAGGGCAAAAAUCAGAUUGCAGCAAUAAGUGAAGUGUCCCAUGCUGGCAUGGUCUAAGCCAGAGGACUUCCAUAUUGGCUGCUACAGUAUUGUGUCAAUUGGAUGCUCUCAAGUUCUCGAUUUUUUGCUGUGCAUCAGAUACAGGAGAAGUGCAGGGAGGAACUCCAAGACCUUUAAAUAUUUUUCAUAGACCUUACAUAAACAUCUGAUACGAUCAGCACAUCAUCAAGUCUCUGGAAACUACUAACUAAAUUUGGCUGCCCUAUAAACAUCAGGAUUCUGAGACUGCUUCAUGAUGGUAUGGCUGUUCUGAUCAGAGCUGAGGUAACCCUGUCUGAGCCAUUCCUCAUUGCCAGGGGAGAAAGGCAGAGCUGUGUAGUGGGCCUAGUCCUGCUCCACCUGUUCUCUGCAGCUAUGGUGGAGGAUGCACCAAGAAGAUACAGAUGUUAGAAUAUGCUUUCACAUACCUGGGAAUCUCUUCCAACUCAAUAGACUUCAAGCAUCAUCCAAAGUUUUGAAAAUGGUCAUUCAAGAAUAGCUGUACAGCUAGGAACCUUCAUCCAAGGAAGUUGUAUAAUUAAUUCACUGUAAAUCAGUUCACUGAAUCAGUCAGGAGCUAUGGGCUGACAACAGAGUUAACAUAGCCUGCACCAGAGAAGCCACACACCAUCCAAAGUUCAUGUUGGCAACACAGAGCUAAGAACUGUGACAAAAUUAUGCUCUCUAGGAAACUCACUGACCAACGUUGCAAUGAUGAAUAAGUAAACAGAAAAUAAAAUCAAGAAGCCCUGCACAUCUGCUGGAAUAUUGUCAGAGUAUAGCAGAUAUACAGCAUCAAGGUUUCAGAGCAAGUUAGAGGUCGACAGAGUUGCUGUGUUGUCCAAUCUUUUCUAUGGCUGUGAGAUCUGGCCCCACAGAGGCUCCACAUCUUGAGCAGUUCUACCAGUGUCAUUUACAUACUAUUCACAGUAUCAAAAGGCAAGAUAAUAUCAUGAACAUUGAACUUAUGGAAUGCUAUGUUCACCUUACCUCAGCUAAACUGAGAGUGCCAUGUGAGGAGAAUGAGCUGCAGCAGGAUUCCCAAACAACAGCUGCUGUAUGGAGAGUUGAAAUUGGAACCUGAAAUCAGGGAAGGGAGAAGAAAUGUUUCAAGGUCACGGUAAAACAAAGUCUCAGAAAAUACUUCAUCCAAGAUGAAAACUCGGAGUGAAUGGCAGGGACAGACCUGCAUGCCACAUUUCCAUCAAAAAGGAAGUAGUUCUCUGAACAGUAACUCUGAAACGAGCAGGAGAUGAGGAAGCAGAAGAGGAAACAGCACCAGGCACUCAAGCAUUAUGCCCAACAACACAGAAAGAGAAGACCCCUUUUUGUUCGUCCCAAUAUGUACAGGAUGGGGACCCCCCACAUUUAUCUUUUCAGUCACACUCCCAAUCAUUGUUCAACUUCACCAUCAGUGUUUUCUUUGAAUACAAAGGAAAAUUGUAUAUAGGUCUGUGCACAAACCAGAAGCACCAUAAAUAAUAGUAAAUAAGGCUAUAAAUAAUAUCACCCAUAGAAGUACAUAGGUCCAGUGCUAUAUACUCAGCCAACUAAUAAAGGAGGUAGAAUGAAAACUAA